rnacentral:lncRNA from 1 species
AUGUGGCGUUGUACCAGUUCCGUAAUGGUAUUCCGUUGACUACGGCUGCUGCGGCUAAUUUUACAAGAGGCGAGCUUGCUACAGCCUUACGAAAGGUAUUGCUUAUAGCGUCUAGGGUUUUAGUUCUGUGGUUGAAUGAUGAAUUUGGGCAUGUUUUGUUUUGUUGUGCAAUUCUAGGGUUAUCUAGGGUUUUAGUACUGUGGUUUAAUGAUGAAUUUGGGCCUGUUUUGAAUCAGGGCUUGGUGUUUCAGUCAGUUAAUAAAUCAAUUAAUCAUCAACUAUAACUCAAUCAACAGAGGAGGAUGCAGCAUUUGAACUUUAUAAGUUUUAAUUAGGAGUUCUACCACAUCUCAUCUAAUUUGCUGGGUUCCAAAUCCAUUAUUUUUACUUAUUUACUGAUUUUCUUGUAACACAUAUGUAGGGUCUAAGCCGAAACUACUGUGUUCAAAUGAACUUGUAACUUAUUCACUGAUCCGCCCCUGUCAAUUAAGUAAUAAGCGUUUUGGGGUCAGCGGAGUGAAUCCUUGAAACCAUUUCUCUCUAUUCAGGCCCAUUUCCUUUGUGGUUCUGUAAAGCUAGACAAAGAGGGAAAUUGAAAAUUUAAACAGAUGCUGAAACAAUUAAGCAUCUUUCUCUGGUUCUCUAUUAUGUUUGUAUGGAUGAAAAUGUUAUUGAGAGAGCAAUGUAAGUUUGUCCUGGCAAGUUUGGCAUAUGCUACUGCUUGUAGUUGUCUGUUCUAUCUGUUAGUGAGUCGCUGUUGUUGUCUCUAGUCAUCGCAUACUGCAUAUUUAUCACGGCGUAACAUACUGUUGGUAAUGGCACAAGGUUGGCACUUCUGGUACCAUUUCCUGUUGUAGCAUUUUUGAGUCUUGCCUUAUUAUCAACCUUGUGUUUCAAAGUGUCUGCAGCAGUAACAAUUUCGUUCAUCAUCACUUAAUGUCAUUUAUGACAAGAGGGGUUGCUCUUAUGGUAAGCAAUCCCCACUUCCAACCGAGAGGUUGUGAGUUCGAGUCUCCCCAAGAGCAAGGUNN